rnacentral:rRNA from 1 species
GACAGAGGUGCCAAGCGUUAGGCGGAAUCACUGGGCUUAAAGCGUGUGUAGGCGGAUGUCUAAGUACCUUGUGAAAUCCCACGGCUCAACCGUGGAACUGCUUGGUAUACUGGAUGUCUUGAGCCAGCUAGGGGCGACCGGAACAAAUGGUGGAGCGGUGAAAUGCGUAGAUAUCAUUUGGAACGCCAAUGGUGAAAACAGGUCGCUGGGGCUGUGCUGACGCUGAGACACGAAAGCCAGGGGAGCGAACGGG